CACGAUCACGAAAUUUCCGGGACUCCCAAAAUGCCCUCGCGCGCGUCGCGCCGCGACAGGUCUCACUCCUGGCUCUCCCCCGCCCGAUCCGCCGCCGGCAGGGUUUCCCGCAUCCGCCUACAACUCCCGUACCAGCGACGCCACUCCUCCUGUUACCGGCUGGAGCAGGACGCGACGAGGGAUGCGACAGCGACAUCGAUGUAAAAGAUAUCGCAUUUUGAUGCGCCGGCGCUGGAGCUGCGUGCGGCGGCACCGGCACUGGCACCGGCACCGACUUCAAUUUACGAGCCUGCCUCACAAGGCGCCGAGCUGAGGCGAGGAAGGAGAGAUCUGGCGCGGAGUACAAGAGAAGCAAAGGAGACGCCGGCCACCAGCGGCAGGCGCUUCGCCACAUCUUCGCCGGCGACCUCGUCCGCGUCAGCUUUCCUAUCAACAGGUUAUUGGAAUUUGGGUAUCCUUUUUUAUCAUCAGUGGACAGGUUGUUGCUAUAAAGCAGCUCACUGAGGUCCUCAUGCUCAGUUUACUGCACCACCAAAAGCAUGUCAAUAUGGUUCUAUUGCUCAGUGUAUACUCCAACAUGAACAUAUAUUUUGGAAUAAUUGAUCUUGGGCAUUUCCCAAAUGCUGCACCGGGGUUUGGAAUAUCCAUGUUGGAUCAUCUUCCCACAAGGAGUAUAUACUGUUUAACGAGGCGAUUGAAGUCGCUUGGCUCCCAGAAAUUGGAAAUGCAACAAAAGUGUUCGUGCCAGAAGCUACAAGGGCUGGUGGAGAAUCGCAGCGAGGUGCAGGUUCUGGGCUAGGUUCCUUUCGGUGUCGCCUUGUUGCAGAUAACCACCUGGAGUUCAUCACUAAGAAUGUAUCGCCUCAUACUUUCUAUUGACUGUUUUGUCCGCACUGACUUCUGUAUUAGGCUCAGACAUUACAUGUUAAUCUACACAGGAACUUGCUUUAGAAAUUUUGUAGUGAAUGAUGGAAGAGGUAUCAAAUGAAUUUUAAAGCAUUGCUUAACGGUUCCAGAUAGUUAUGCUUUGGGUUAGUUUUUUAUUAGUAUCUUUCUAGGAACUUUCCCCUCUACAAAUUUUGGUCUGUGUUGUUACCGCUGCAGGCCAGCAAGACGGUUGGUGUCGAUGAUGAAGAGUGCCUGUUAUGUUUGAUUAUGGAAUGAUUUGGACACAUAUAGAGUAUUGCCGCCUUUAGCUUGCAAGGUAUGUUACCAUCUCAUGCCCCAUCCUCUUAUCUAACUUUUGUGCUGAACUGGGAAUUUGGGAUUAGCUAUUUACGGAUAGCCAAGAAGAACAUGACCCUCUUACAGGACCUCUGAUUGGUGGAUUAUGUUGUUGUCAUUGUCUUGCAUCAUUCGGAGAAAAGUCAUUCCAUCUUUAGCGUUGUUCGCAUGGAAAAUUUAAUAUAUAACAUGGCAAUAUGUGAAGUGGAACUUAUCGGUCUUCAGAAUGCCAGAUUUGACUCCAUUAACUAUGUAGGUUGUGGCAGUUUUUCAAGCUUCGGUUAUUAUGAGAACAGUGCGAUAGGUGUUAAUCAUACAAAAUAGUGAAAAUACUGAUCUAGCUUCAUCAACAAUACUUAGGAAAUACAAAUUUCAUGCAUUUGUUAGUACAAAGCUCAGAUAACAGGGCGGAUAUUUUCUUAAUGUUUUGAGGAAGCAAUAUCUGACUGACUGGUUGCUUGUUUUAACCUAUUUUCACCUGCUAAUUAUCAGAUUGUUGAUAAAGAAACCUUCUAUAUCUCUUCAUGCUACAAAAACAAAAGAAAUUUGGCUUUUCCUUAUCUGAGUAUGGAUUAACCAGGAAUCUUGUUUUUCUCUGCAUAGAUUUAUGCGCAGAAGCAUGUGUUAUUCUAUACAUAGUGGUUAUUUCCUUUACUCACAAUUAACUCUCCCUUUUUUAUCUCAAUUUUUUUUGUAUUCAGAUGUAUUAAAAAAUUUACUCCCAUUUCUAUGUUCUUUGUUAAAUAUUUGAUGGAGAAAAGUUCCAACUCGAUGGACAUGCAUAUUUUUGGAUUGCCGAAGAACAUGCAUCUAUGUUUACCAAGAUGUGUAGAUUUCAUUACUUGUCAGAAGAUCUGAUUUCUGUUGUAGGUAUCAGUAUCAUUUUCAUACCAUAACGAUAAUUUGCAAACCUAGCUUAGUUCAGAGUUCAGGCUGCUCUCGAGGACUUCUUUGGUGCGUGCAUCUUUUGUUUAUGUAAACUUGUAUAAAGCACAUGUGGUAGCUUAGUUUAGGUUUGGUCCACCUUUCCAUUGAUUUUUUAUCAUGUAAGAUUAUUGGUUUAUGUAAACAAUUAGGUCGCCAUUUGGUAUUUUCAUUGGAUACAGACUUAAAUGCAAGUGUGUGUGUGUGUGUGUGUUGCAAGCAGAACAGAGCAUAACUUGGAGUAACAUGCCGUUUGAUAGCUUUUUCAUUGGGCAGCAAUUGGCCUGCCACUGACCGGUGAGGAGGUGCCCCAUUGUUGGGUAUACAUAUGUGACUAAACUUCAGCUGAUAUAUAUCUUGUGACAUCGAAUUGCAGUUUUCUAAACGCUCUCCUCCCCACCAUUUGCUAUAUGUAGAUGUUAUAUGCUGCUGUAAAUGAACUGAUUGCCAUGUUAAAUUAUGUAGCACAUUCACAUUCCCAUGCAUUUUUUGGUAGAGAUAAUAUACCUGUAGAGGCAGGCCACAAUGAUCAUGGAAGAUAAAAACAGAAGAAGCCAUUAUUCCUGUUACAAGUUGAUGUGGUGCCCACCCUAAUUAUAUACCAAUUCUCUGUCCUUUUUGGGUGCUCCUUAUUUAUAUUUAUCCUUUUAUAAAUCUCUGCCUCUACAUCUGUAUAGCAACCCAUUGAUAUUUGCUUUCAGCCGUACUCAACAUAGCUAGCUUUCACCAUGCAUCCCUUAUAGACAGUACAUCUCUACUGCAGUUAUCCUCGCUGUCUGUUGCAUGAGAUGUUUUAGACAGAAUCAAUCAUAUAAGUGGCAUUUCAUCUAUUUUUGUUAUUGAUGUUUGCAAUAUUUAUUAACGGGAUUACAUUACAAGUAGCAACUCACUGUCCAUUCACUGCCUGUAGUGGGCACAUGAGAAGAAAAAGUAAACCAAGGAAUUAUUUCUACCAAUUGCCAAGUCAAACAUCAAACUAUCCCGUACUAUAGCUCACACUGAUUCUGAACUCUUUUCCUGACAGAAAACGAACACCAUAAUUACAUCAUGAGCAACAACUCAAGUUAGGCUGACAGUAAGAAGUAGAAGAAUAUCUGAACUGGUGAAAGAGAGGGCCUGCACCAAGAUGUGAAAUAUUAUCUGCUAACCUACCUACGAAAAUAGCCAUUUCUCUUCAAUUUAUCUAUCAUGUUUCUUAUACCAAGUCAAUGUUGCUUCUAUAUUGUGUAAAAUCAAAGAUGUGAUGUAUACUCCAAAUUGCAGACCAAUUUAGUAUCAAUAUGCCAAGAAGUCGAGGAUGUAUACUCUGAACUGCAGACACCAAAAUCAACUAACGGACACACUUCCUAGUAAGUCUCAAAACACGCUGGCUAAUCCAGAUACACACUGGCUCAGACUAUUAGACAACACUGAAGACAACAGCUACAGGAAGUGCUUGGUGUAUGGUGCAGCAGAGUCUAAAUGCCACAUAAGGGUGCUCAUUUUUCUCUUAAAUCACUUUUUAAUGUCACAUAUAUAUGCUCCAUGUACUGAAGUGUAGAAAAACUCGUGCUGGGGUAUCUUUUGCUUGAUGACAUACCAUGGAACUGCAAAAUGAAUCAAAUAUUUUACGAUAGGCAGUUUGCGGAAAUGAAUCAACCGAGUUAUCUUUUGCUUGAUGACAUGCCAUGGAACUGCAAAAUAAAUCAAAUAUUUUAUGAUAGUCAAGACUUCUAUCCGGUAGCUCUCUUCCUUUACGAGCCGACGCACUCAGCUGGUCCGGAGCUACUCAUAGCUUUGAAGAAAGAGCAGCUACUUAGUAAACUGCAAUCUGGGGAAAAUGGGAUAUGUGUAAGACAGCACAAUGGAGAGCAGUUAAUGUGUAUUCAUGGCUUGAUUUGUACACCUAACUGGGACAAACUGAUGUUCUUGAGCUUCUCUCUUGAACUGUUGGAAUGGAACUACUAUUUAGACUCCAUUUAUGACAACUAUUAAAUUUGCAUCCCAAAUUAAGUAACGUGUUUACUUAUUCUCAUCACAUAAUACCUCUCAUCUGAAAAAGAAAACCUGAUCUUUCCUGAU